AUGUUUGGUGUCAGUCCAUCUGUGCUACAACUCCAGCUUCAUUUGCCAAAUAUGCAUACAGUUGCAUUUAAAGCAUGUGAGAAUCUUGCAGAUGUUGUAGCUCGACCAUCUUCUUCAAAGUCCAUGCUUACAGAAUACUUUGAGAUGAACCGGAAGUUUCCAACUGCACGAAAAUGGUUGUACAGAGAGUUUCCAGAACAUUAUAGAUGGAUACCUGGAAAUAAGAAGUGGCAGAAUAGAAGAAAUAAGAGAUCACAGAUUGGAAGACUUGUGCAUGCACACCCUGCUGAAGGAGAGAGGUACUAG
rnacentral:rRNA from 1 species